rnacentral:lncRNA from 1 species
UUCAACGCCCUCUUCUUUAUACGACGGAGCUCAUCUUUCUUUCCCGCUUCUUUGAUACAACAACGAUUAACUGUUUCAUCUCGGCAAAGCUUAUUCUCUGGUCGACCACUACUCUACUCAAUCAAGCACUCUAACGGAACUACAUUCAAAGCUAAGCAAAGGCGAGUCCGCCAAUCAAUCAAUCCGACCUUUUGCGCUUGAUACUAUUCUUUUACGGGACCUAAUCACUAUCGUUGGUGAGUUCCUAAGCCAUCUCAUUUAUCUGAAGUGAAGCAAGCCACCUUUUCAUCUUCAUCGAGUGCCCGGACCACAAGCUCCAUAUUCCAACACCUAUAUUGGAACUACAUCUCUUUCUCCUGUUCAACUUCAAGCAGAGCGGCUAAGAAGCUUCAAAGUCCGAUACGGAAGGCAGCUAGUCAAGUAAGAAAUAUGAUUAUAUGAACUGAGCUGAUAGUCAAGUAAGAAAUCAGAUUAUAUGAACGAACGACUCUAUUACUAAGAAAUAGGAAAUAGAAGUAACACACAUAAGAUAUAAGAAAAGUCAAGUAACCGAACUCAAUAAGUCAUAAGUGCAAUAGAAGUAAUAAGUGCACAAUAUGAUAGAAAUUGAGUCAAGCUCACUCCUUACUCCUUACUCUCCUCUUUAGUUAACAUUCUAUAAUAAGGUGAACCACCCCCUUAUUUCACUCGAACGUGUUCAUUCAUAUAAGUGCAAGAUGAGAGAAUUCCUUUUAGUAAAGUUAAUACACCGAUAUUAGAUCUUCCCUAUUGUGUACUUCGUGAAUUUGCCAAUGUUGAGUUUAGCGCUUUAACCAUUCAGCCAUGGAUAAGGAAUGGAAGAAAAGCUAGCAGCGGGAGAAAGCUUUAAGGUGCUUCAGAGAUAGGGCGGUUAUAGUAAGCUGGCGAGUUAUUGUGUUGUCCUAUCUUAUCUAUAAGCUCAUCUCUUUUCGAAUGCCCCCUGAUACAUAAAUUGUUGUAUUACUUGAGUGAAUUCUUAUUGCUUGAGAUUUACCUGCAGGGCACUAUCCGUCUCAGUUAUGGAGCACUUUAGUCUUCUCGCGGGAGAACGAAGCUCAAAAGAAUUAGGCAGAGGUGUGGAUGGAUCAGGCAAUAUAUUGGCCUAAGGGGUAAGGAUCUGAUUCCAGCACUAGUAGGAUCUUUCUCAUUUAGUUAACCCAGGCGACAGACGUAGACCUUCUUUUCUCGAGAGGUCCUUUGGUUAAUCCACGGCCUCCACUUUCUUCUCCGAAUACAGGAAUGGGGUCGUUGUGGGGAUGGCACCCUUUGAUCCCCAAAUAGGCUUUCUUAUCCCCUUGAAUGUCUCUCUUUUCUUUACUGCGAAAUGCAGAAAGGUAUGGUAGGGAGCCUCUCACUGCUUAUGGCUUGCUUUCUCUCUUUUUGAAUCACUUCCUUGUUUACAGGCGAAUCAAGCUGCUAUCAAAUUGUUUAAGCACCCGAAACUCUGACUUUCUUUCGGAUUGAAUUCUUUAUUAGUUGACUAUGGUAUAGGAGCAAUACUCGAUCAGAGGCUAGAUCCGGAGCUGGCUCCUCAGCGGGAAUGAAAUGGAAUAUAAAUGCACUGAUUCUACAAAGUCAUGUAGUAACAAAAACACAGCUUACUGAAUUUAUGGAAUUGGACCGAUUUGCUUCGAUCACUUCUCGACCGGGACUUCCUCCUAUAGAUA